CUGGAGUAAAGAGCCUUGCUGAAGGACACACCGGUGGUGACGACUGCGGAGAUCGAACCAGCAACCUUCUGCUUACCAGUAGUCGUGCUCAUGGAGAGUAGGCGCACAAAUUUUUGGAGCAGACACGGCAGCAGUCAGAUUGUCCUACACAUGUUCUCCUGCUCUUGGUCGUGAUGGACGGCAAAGAAACACGGUGGUCAGCUGCUUCAUCAGAAUAAAGCUGCAGAACUGGAACAGCUGUGUUGAGAUGGCAGUAGGAUGUGGCUUCACUGCCUGUAAAUACAUGUUUGUUAGAACAAUAUGUUUGAAUAAAGCUUUGUUUC